rnacentral:rRNA from 1 species
AUUACCCGGGGAAUUUACAUUCAUAACGAGGAAAGAACUACCAGGAUCUCCCAGUACGGCGAGUAACGGAGAUUACCCAUCCCGAAGUCUAUCACUGUUGUGACAGGACAAUGUGGUGUUCAGGCGUGUACCUGGGAGUGCUUGCCUACUCGAAGUCCAACUCCGAUUAUGGCUAGGACCAUGCCCAGAGCGGGUGAAAGGCCCGUUCGGGUAGGUUGUUGCAAUUGAAGCGCUCCUCAGAUGUGCAUGCUUUCGAGUCGGAUUGCUUGAGAAUGCAGUCCAAAGUGGGUGGUAAACUCCAUCCAAGGCUAAAUACUGGCACGAGUCCGAUAGUAGACAAGUACCGUGAGGGAAAGUUGAAAAGUACUCUGAAGAGAGAGUAAAUAGCACGUGAAGCCGCUUGCAGGGAAGCUGGUGGAGUCAAGCUUCAUGUUCGUGGGAUUGUCUACAGUGGCAUCGUUGUUGUUUGGGACGUGGCAUUGGUGAGCCUGUAAACGGCUCCAUGCAUCUCGGUGCAUGUCAAGUGGCUCUGGUGAGGGCCUUUGGACUGGUGCCUAUCUCCCUGCUGCUGUGGCUUUAUCUCGCUGGACAUACAUCAUGGUCAAUAAUGGUUCGUACUGUGUGAACGCUUAACUGUACUGUGGCGGGCAUUCGUGUCUGCCUGGUGCGGAAUGGCAGGUGGCUUGUGUGGGCCCUCGUGGUCUGCAACUUGCUUAUUGGAGAUUUCGAUCUGCUAGUGUUCAUGUGUGAAUUUAUCAGUAUCGGCCUUAUUGUUGCUAUGUGCGUGGUGUACUCUACGGAGUGCGUUGCGUUGAGAACCAUGAUGCUGAGGUAGACCUUCCACCCAACCGUCUGAAAAACCCCGGACCAAAAU